UGGGGAAUAUUGCACAAUGGGCGAAAGCCUGAUGCAGCGACGCCGCGUGAGGGAUGACGGCCUUCGGGUUGUAAACCUCUUUCAGUAGGGACGAAGCGCAAGUGACGGUACCUGCAGAAGAAGCACCGGCUAACUACGUGCCAGCAGCCGCGGUAAUACGUAGGGUGCGAGCGUUGUCCGGAAUUACUGGGGGUAAAGAGCUCGUAGGCGGUUUGUCACGUCGUCUGUGAAAUCCUAGGGCUUAACCCUGGACGUGCAGGCGAUACGGGCUGACUUGAGUACUACAGGGGAGACUGGAAUUUCUGGUGUAGCGGUGGAAUGCACAGAUAUCAGGAAGAACACCGAUGGCGAAGGCAGGUCUCUGGGUAGUAACUGACGCUGAGGAGCGAAAGCAUGGGUAGCGAACAGG
rnacentral:rRNA from 1 species